UCUCUCACGCCUUCCCUUCGGUCUCCGUCCUAUCCCCUCCCCCUCUCCCAUUAACUCUUUACUAAAGGAGUCUGACCCCUCCCUCAGGGCCCUCCCCUUGCCCCAAGCUCCCUCCCCUGAUUUCUAGCCAGACUCUGAACGUGGCUACCGCCUGAGGCCCCCCGAACGGUCCAGACUUUCCAGCCUGAGCUUGGGCUACUCCCACGCUCGCCCCCAGGGCCUCGGGACUCAGUGAAAAGCGGGAGAGCAAAGGGCAGGGGACUGGGACCUGAGUCGGCUGCAGCUGGACUGGGGCAGCUCAUCCAGCACCUCCCCCAGACUCCCCGGGACAGAAACCAGUACGGAAGCGAGCGGCACGCCCCCUCCCCUUCAGACUCCGGGAGGAAGGCUGAAGAGAAAAAGAAGUUUGAGGGAAAGAACCAAGUGUCUCAGAGAUAAAGAAAUGGGAAACCCAAAACAAAACCUUUGAAUCACCAGUAACCUCAGAGUGAAAAGCAGUUUAAUCCAUAGACACAUUGGUUAAAAAAAAAAAGAAAAAGAAAAAAAAAAAAAGACCCGUUCUUUAUAAAUCUUUCUGUAUUCACUGUGUCUACAAUAGUUGAAGGUAGGAAUCAAUUUCAGAAACCCUGAACAUUCUCAUCAAAUUAGAUCAAAUGCAGUACCACAUCUUGUGAACUAAGGCUGAAGAAAUAGAUCAAAAAGGAGACUCAAGACAAUUUAAGAACAAAACAGGUAUAUUUCUAUUGGACUACCUGAUACAGAGGAUACUGUGGUAUGGAUGAAUAGUAGGAAUGACAAAUAAUACAAAUAUAUUUUAUUUGAAAUAAACGAAAAUGCUUACACAAUU